GAUGAACGCUGGCGGCGUGCCUAAUACAUGCAAGUCGAGCGAACAGACGAGGAGUUUGCUCCUCUGACGUUAGCGGCGGACGGGUGAGUAACACGUGGAUAACCUACCUAUAAUACUGGGAUAACUUCGGGAAACCGGAGCUAAUACCGGAUAAUAUAUUGAACCGCAUGGUUCAAUAGUGAAAGACGGUUUUGCUGUCACUUAUAGAUGGAUCCGCGCCGCAUUAGCUAGUUGGUAAGGUAACGGCUUACCAAGGCAACGAUGCGUAGCCGACCUGAGAGGGUGAUCGGCCACACUGGAACUGAGACACGGUCCAGACUCCUACGGGAGGCAGCAGUAGGGAAUCUUCCGCAAUGGGCGAAAGCCUGACGGAGCAACGCCGCGUGAGUGAUGAAGGUCUUCGGAUCGUAAAACUCUGUUAUUAGGGAAGAACAAAUGUGUAAGUAACUAUGCACGUCUUGACGGUACCUAAUCAGAAAGCCACGGCUAACUACGUG
rnacentral:rRNA from 1 species